GCUUCUAUAGCUCAAUUGGCUAGAGCACCCGUUUAGGAAGCGGGAGGUCCUGAGUCCAACUCUCAGUGGAAGCA
rnacentral:tRNA from 1 species